rnacentral:lncRNA from 1 species
UGAGUUGCCAAGAAGUUGCUUUUCCAGACAUACAACAAAGUAGCCUCUGUUAAUUAAUUAGAAGUCCAACUUAAAAUACAACAAAGGAGCCACCAUAAAUACACCAAAUCUUAGCAGCUAUAGCACCUUUAGUCUUAAGGUUUAGAUAGUUGGUCCCUUCGUACUAAGAAAAACAACUCUUAAGAACUAUGAAUAAGUCUUGCUUGACCAAAAACACACAUAAACCAAAGAAAACCAUUGACGUCCAAGAAGCAAUCAGUACUUCGUUACUACUAUGCAAUAUAUAAAAGAAUAGAAUGGAAGGGCAUCAUAGCCAACUCUAUUAGAAGGAAAACUACAAAGAUGGCAUAUAUUUUUAUAACAAAUGCCAUAUAUGUAUAUUAGGAGCCUGAUAUUAGCACAUAUACAUAGUGACAAUAUAUUAUCAAAUAUAUAAUUGAAUUUUUCAUAAUAAAUCUGUAUCUGAACUUCAACUCUGAUAAUCUUUAAAUAUUUAAAGUGCAGAUCAGAAGCUCCAGUCAAAGUGAUACAUACAGAUGAUAAUUUUACGGGGUAAAAUCACUCUCUAUAUCAAAGAAUCUAUGGAUCUUCCAAAAUUUCAAAACUAAUUAUGUAUCUGAACUUAAAUUAGGCAUAUCACUACUUAUAAAUCUGAAACUACCUUUAAAAUCCCAUGAGAUUGUUGUAUGCAUUGAAAUCAAGUCUUACAUUAGAAUCACGAAAACUGGAUAUAAACAUGAAUGUAGUUUCACAAGUAUUACAUGAAGUUAAACAACAACCUGCAAAUCAUGAGAGCUGAUAAGCAUUCCAGCUAUGAUAGGAGGUAAAAGGGGAUAAGCACCAUAUAAAAGAAGCUUGGGUCAAUGCAACAGAUAGUGAAUGAAAAGUUUGUAAGCAGAAUGUACUCAUUUACCACCUAGACUUAGUUAACAAAAAUGAUUCACCAAUCAAACAUAAAGCUGACAUGGUAUGGUUCAUACUGUAGCAUCUCAGAAUUCGUCAGUAAGUAUACUUUUUUCCUCACAAAGCUCAUAGUGAUUCUGAAAUCAACGACAUAUGGCAACAUUAGAACAUUGCAUGUAUCGGAACCCAUAGUCCAGUAAUACAAUCUCUUUGAUCAUGCAUCUAUAUCGAAGAUCAUGAAGCAAUAAACAAUGUAACAUCCAAUAAAGUGAAAAUGCAGGUGUUGAGGGGUAAAGUUAUAAGAUUUUAUCAAUAUAAAAUUGUAAAAGAAUGCUUGAUAAAAGAAUCAUCUUAUCACAGACUCACUGAACUUAACUAUUAGAACUCUUACAGCAAAUUUCAACUUAUCAGCAAGUAGCAACUGAUGAUCAAGCACUUAGUCAUGAUCCCAUACAUAUGCGAUAAUUGAUAAUAAGAAUUUGUAGAUGCCGGUAAUUUCCGAUUAAAAAGGAUAAGUUGAAAUGAAUGAACUUGUGAUAUGCCAACAUGUCAACCAUUCAAGCACAAAGAUGGAAAACAGGCAGACAGAGAAUGUGAGUUACAAACAUUAAAAAAGUUCUUUUAGAUCAU